rnacentral:rRNA from 1 species
GGUUGAUCCUGCCAGCAGUCAUAUGCUUCGUUCAAGGGCUAAGCCAUGCACGUCUCAGCGCAAAUGGUGCAACAGUGGAUCUGUGAAUGGCUCCUUACAUCAGCAGUCAUCUCUGUGAUAGAGUGUGCUUGGUCAAUGGCAGUGGACCCCUUUGGACAUCCACCAAAACCUUGUGGCUAAUACACGUUUGAAACAGUCAGCCAUGCGACACUCGGAAGGCUUCCAAGGACCACCCUGCUGUGGUCCAAGUCGACCGGUGGUGGCGGAUGAACGCCCAGCUGAUACAAAGACC